CUUCAACCCAAUGUUUGCUGGUAGUGGUGGAUCGGGCAUGGGAGGAGGCGGGAAAUCUAACAGUGGUUGUUCCGGUCCAUUUUGUGCUAUGAUGUCCACAACUGGUGGAAAAUCAAUGACUGGAUCUUUCACAAAUCCUGGACAAGACGGUGGCACUGACGGUGGCGAUGGGUCUGGAGAUAAGUGCACUGGUCCAUCGUGCUCAGCACCUGGAA